rnacentral:rRNA from 1 species
GACGAACGCUGGCGGCGUGCUUAACACAUGCAAGUCGAACGAAGAGCUGUGGAGCUUUGCCUCUUGACGUCUUAGGGGCGCAGGUGAGUAACACGUGGAUACCACCUGUAUAUGAGAGGGGGAACACCGUGAAACAGGAGUGCUUAUACGAUAUUAUAUCUAAUCGCAGCGUUCAGGAGAGAUAGACGGUUUCGUCGACAUUUAUGCAUUCACUCGCGCCGCAUAAGCUAGUUGGUAAGGUAGCGGCUUACGAAGGCAACGAUGAGUAGCGGACCUGAGAGGUGGACCGCCCACACGGGACUUGAGCCACGGUCAGGCUCCCUACGGGAGGAAGCAGUAGGGAUCCUUCGGCAAUGGGCGAAAGCCUGCCGAGGCAACCCCGCGUGGGUGAUGAAGGUUUCCGGAUCGUAAAACUCUUUUAUUAGGGAAGAACAAAUGUGUAAGAAACUAUGCACGUCUUGACGGUACCUAAUCAGAAAGCCACGGCUAACUACGUG